rnacentral:lncRNA from 1 species
CCCAAUCAAAAUUAUAAUUGUUUGUUUUUCUCUCUCUUUUUCUGGUGUUAUAACAGAUAUUGAAAAGAGAUAAGUCACAGCGACUGCUGUAAUUGCAAUCCAAGUGAUCACCAUCAAAAUCCACAUAAAUAUUCUCCUCCUUAGAGGUAAACCACUCAUCAACAAUAAUAUGAUACUGGGUGAUGCAAUGAGUCCUGCUGUAUUAGCAAUCAAGAACUGUCUAUAAUCCUCUGGAUGAUUAUGAGCGAAAAUGGAUUCUCCGACCUUGUGAGAAUUGGAUACUGAUAUAGUAUGACCUUGUGAGUCAACCUUAUAAUUAUCCUGCCUUACUCCACAUGGAGGGUUGAUUCCAACUUGAAAUGCCAUGGUUGCAAUUAAAGAAGCCACUACGAUUAAUGCACUUCAUUUUUUCUCCAACCAAUCAUCUUUCUGUUUAAACAUCUUUUCUCUACUGUUCUUUUUCACAUUUGUGGACAAAUCUCAG